GGUUGUAGCUCAGUGGUAGAGCACUUGCCUAGCACGUGUGAGGCACUGGGUUUUAUUCUCAGCACCA
rnacentral:tRNA from 1 species